GAAAGUAGAAUAACAGUGCUUUUUUUAUUUCUUCACGCAUUCGCAUACCUUAGGCGCACGAAAAAUAUAGUUGACAUCAGAUAGUUUUGCGUUUCUUACUUUGGUUUCCAAAGCGUUAACUUAUUUAUAUUGUUUUUUGCUAUCCCUCUUUUUCGUUUUGACAACAACCGCCCUGUCAACAGGAGACAACGCUGAUGGAUUUUUUUCCGGGUCAACAAAAAGCUGCCCGGAAUAUUAUCGCAAUGACGUCCGUGUUCCUUGCUUUUUCUUGGGUGAAAAAUGCUAUUGUUUCUCAACACAAAUGUUUCUGAUGGCGUGGAAUGACGCUAAAUAUUAUUGUCGACUUAACAAUUAUACUUUGAUAAGUCUGGAGACAAAAGCGGAAGAUGAUCUGAUACAUCAACAUAUCGAAACCACCGAAUUACUUUCCGAGCUGCCAUGGUUUUGGACUUCAGGAACAUACAGUGAGGAUCAGUGGAAAUGGUCUACAAGCCCCCUUCCUGGUGAACCUUUUAGUUAUUCAAAUUGGGCCUCAACAAGGCCAAUUUACAACAUGAAUGGUUACUGCACUGAAAUCAAUUACAGCACUUUUCAAGGUGCAUGGGUGGACUUUCCUUGCGAUUUUACAAAUUAU
rnacentral:misc_RNA from 1 species